GGGGAAUAUUGCGCAAUGGGGGAAACCCUGACGCAGCAAUACCGCGUGAGUGAAGAAGGUUUUCGGAUCGUAAAGCUCUGUUAUUGGGGAAGAAAAAAAGACGGUACCCAAGAAGAAAGUCCCGGCUAACUACGUGCCAGCAGCCGCGGUAAUACGUAGGGGACAAGCGUUGUCCGGAUUUACUGGGCGUAAAGGGCACGCAGGCGGUUUUUUAAGUCAGAUGUGAAAGCCCACGGCUUAACCGUGGAGGGUCAUUGGAAACUGGGAGACUUGAGUGCAGAAGAGGAAAGUGGAAUUCCAAGUGUAGCGGUGAAAUGCGUAGAGAUUUGGAGGAACACCAGUGGCGAAGGCGACUUUCUGGUCUGCAACUGACGCUGAGGCGCGAAAGCAUGGGGAGCAAACA
rnacentral:rRNA from 1 species